GGAGAAUCUUAAAUUUUCUUAAUGUUCUGUAAGGAGAUGAGCAAUGCAGUAACAGGACGUUACUGCAAGUAAAAGCCGGGGCAUGGACGCCACGUCUUUUACGGUUGCGGUCGUAGAAUGAUUUAUGACAGAACAUUUAGAAAAUGUUAGAUUCGUA
rnacentral:ncRNA from 1 species